CAUCGUCUUCCAUACGUGUGUCGGAGGCGGCGCUGCUCUUCAGCGGGGUGCUCUUUCGCGGGGGUAGAGGAGGAAGGAGUGUAACAACCCAAAAUUUCAAACUUUUACAUGUGCAUUGCAUUCAUAAGCAUCAUGCCACAAUUGCAUAUUUGAAUUUUUGAAUCACAAAAGGCUUUAAGAGAUUUUGUUUACAUCCCUGUAACCCUUGGAUUUUCAAACCAAUAGGGUUGAUAUAUAAAAAGAGUUUAAUGCAUAUAUAAGCUAUCCCAUAAUUUUUGGUUAAUUAUUUGGAGUUGAAAAAGUAUUUUAUUUAAAUAGUUAUAUGGCCCUAAAGCAUUUAUAGGGCAAAUGUAUCUUUACAUAUUUUAUUUUGAAGAGAAACUACUUCAAAAAGUUGUAUCUUGGUAGAACAUGAUUUUACAAAUUUUCUGGAAUUUAUUUGGACCAAUUUGGAGUUCAAACUCAAAAGAUAUUAAAGAAAUGAGAAAAGCAGAAAAAGAAAAGGCUAAAAGAAAAAAAAAAAUAGAAAACCGGACCGGCCCGGCCAAAAUGGGCCGAACCGGCCC
rnacentral:lncRNA from 1 species